rnacentral:rRNA from 1 species
GCUCAGGACGAACGCUGGCGGCGUGCCUAAUACAUGCAAGUAGAACGCUGAGGACUGGUGCUUGCACUGGUCUAAGGAGUUGCGAACGGGUGAGUAACGCGUAGGUAACCUACCUCAUAGCGGGGGAUAACUAUUGGAAACGAUAGCUAAUACCGCAUGACAAUAGGGUACACAUGUACCCUAUUUAAAAGGGGCAAAUGCUUCACUAUGAGAUGGACCUGCGUUGUAUUAGCUAGUUGGUAAGGUAACGGCUUACCAAGGCGACGAUACAUAGCCGACCUGAGAGGGUGAUCGGCCACACUGGGACUGAGACACGGCCCAGACUCCUACGGGAGGCAGCAGUAGGGAAUCUUCGGCAAUGGGGGGAACCCUGACCGAGCAACGCCGCGUGAGUGAAGAAGGUUUUCGGAUCGUAAAGCUCUGUUGUUAGAGAAGAACGGUAAUGGGAGUGGAAAAUCCAUUACGUGACGGUAACUAA